AUGGAUGAGCCUGCGUUGGAUUAGCUAGUUGGUGGGGUAAGGGCCUACCAAGGCUACGAUCCAUAGCUGAUUUGAGAGGAUGAUCAGCCACAUUGGGACUGAGACACGGCCCAAACUCCUACGGGAGGCAGCAGUGAGGAAUAUUGGACAAUGGGGGCAACCCUGAUCCAGCAAUGCCAUGUGUGUGAAGAAGGCCUUAGGGUUGUAAAGCACUUUAGUUGGGGAAGAAAGCUUUGAGGUUAAUAGCCUUGAGGAAGGACGUUACCCAAAGAAUAAGCACCGGCUAACUCCGUGCCAGCAGCCGCGGUAAUACGGGGGGUGCAAGCGUUAAUCGGAAUUACUGGGCGUAAAGAGUCUGUAGGUGGUUUGUUAAGUCAGAUGUGAAAGCCCAGGGCUCAACCUUGGAACUGCAUUUGAUACUGGCAAACUAGAGUACGGUAGAGGAAUGGGGAAUUUCUGGUGUAGCGGUGAAAUGCGUAGAGAUCAGAAGGAACACCAAUGGCGAAGGCAACAUUCUGGACCGAUACUGACACUGAGGGACGAAAGCGUGGGGAUCAAACAGGAUUAGAUACCCUGGUAGUCCACGCUGUAAACGAUGAGUACUAGCUGUUGGAGUCGGUGUAAAGGCUCUAGUGGCGCAGCUAACGCGAUAAGUACUCCGCCUGGGGACUACGGCCGCAAGGCUAAAACUCAAAGGAAUUGACGGGGACCCGCACAAGCGGUGGAGCAUGUGGUUUAAUUCGAUGCAACGCGAAGAACCUUACCUGGUCUUGACAUCCUGCGAACUUUCUAGAGAUAGAUUGGUGCCUUCGGGAACGCAGUGACAGGUGCUGCACGGCUGUCGUCAGCUCGUGUUGUGAAAUGUUGGGUUAAGUCCCGCAACGAGCGCAACCCCUAUUGAUAGUUACCAUCAUUAAGUUGGGUACUCUAUUGAGACUGCCGCUGACAAGGCGGAGGAAGGUGGGGACGACGUCAAGUCAUCAUGGCCCU
rnacentral:rRNA from 1 species